GACGAACGCUGGCGGCGUGCUUAACACAUGCAAGUCGAACGGAAAGGCCCUGCUUUUGUGGGGUGCUCGAGGGGCGAACGGGGGAGUAACACGUGAGUAAACUGCCCUUGACUUUGGGAUAAAUUCAGGAAACUGGGGCUAAUACCGGAUAGGAGCUCCUGCUGCAUGGUGGGGGUUGGAAAGUUUCGGCGGUUGGGGAUGGACUCGCGGCUUAUCAGCUUGUUGGUGGGGUAGUGGCUUACCAAGGCUUUGACGGGUAGCCGGCCUGAGAGGGUGACCGGCCACAUUGGGACUGAGAUACGGCCCAGACUCCUACGGGAGGCAGCAGUGGGGAAUAUUGCACAAUGGGCGGAAGCCUGAUGCAGCAACGCCGCGUGCGGGAUGACGGCCUUCGGGUUGUAAACCGCUUUCGCCUGUGACGAAGCGUGAGUGACGGUAAUGGGUAAAGAAGCACCGGCUAACUACGUG
rnacentral:rRNA from 1 species